UACGUAGGUGGCAAGCGUUGUCCGGAUUUACUGGGCGUAAAGAGCGCGCAGGCGGUCGUGCAAGUCGCGUGUGAAAGCCCCCGGCUCAACUGGGGAGGGUCACGCGAUACUGCUCGACUCGAAGGCAGGAGAGGGAAGUGGAAUUCCCGGUGUAGUGGUGAAAUGCGCAGAUAUCAGGAGGAACACCAAUUGCGAAGGCAGCUCGCUGGGACGUAACUGACGCUGAGACGCGAAAGCGUGGGGAGCAAACAGG
rnacentral:rRNA from 1 species